rnacentral:rRNA from 1 species
UACGUAGGUGGCAAGCGUUAUCCGGAUUUAUUGGGCGUAAAGGGAACGCAGGCGGUCUUUUAAGUCUUAUGUGAAAGCCUUCGGCUUAACCGGAGUAGUGCAUUGGAAACUGGGAGACUUGAGUGCAGAAGAGGAGAGUGGAACUCCAUGUGUAGCGGUGAAAUGCGUAGAUAUAUGGAAGAACACCAGUGGCGAAAGCGGCUCUCUGGUCUGUAACUGACGCUGAGGUCCGAAAGCGUGGGUAGCAAACAGG